UGAUAGGGAAACCAGGCAAGAAAUAUUGUCUCCUCAAGUUGCGACGAGACAGUAGUUCUUGCCUGGUUUCUCUAUCA
ensembl:miRNA MIR4645 microRNA 4645